rnacentral:rRNA from 1 species
GAUGAACGCUGGCGGCGUGCCUAAUACAUGCAAGUCGAGCGAACAGACGAGGAGCUUGCUCCUCUGACGUUAGCGGCGGACGGGUGAGUAACACGUGGAUAACCUACCUAUAAGACUGGGAUAACUUCGGGAAACCGGAGCUAAUACCGGAUAAUAUAUUGAACCGCAUGGUUCAAUAGUGAAAGACGGUUUUGCUGUCACUUAUAGAUGGAUCCGCGCCGCAUUAGCUAGUUGGUAAGGUAACGGCUUACCAAAGCGACGAUGCGUAGCCGACCUGAGAGGGUGAUCGGCCACACUGGAACUGAGACACGGUCCCGACUCCUACGGGAGGCAGCAGUAGGGAAUCUUCCGCAAUGGGCGAAAGCUUGACGGAGCAACGCCGCGUGAGUGAUGAAGGUCUUCGGAUCGUAAAACUCUGUUAUUAGGGAAGAACAAAUGUGUAAGUAACUAUGCACGUCUUGACGGUACCUAAUCAGAAAGCCACGGCUAACUACGU